AGAGUUUGAUCAUGGCUCAGGAUGAACGCUGGCGGCGUGCUUAACACAUGCAAGUCGAACGAAGCACUUUACCACGAUUCCUUCGGGAUGACGGUUUGGUGACUGAGUGGCGGACGGGUGAGUAACGCGUGGGGAGCCUGCCCCAUACCGGGGGAUAACAGCCGGAAACGGCUGCUAAUACCGCAUAAGCGCACAGUACCGCAUGGUACGGUGUGAAAAACUCCGGUGGUAUGGGACGGACCCGCGUCUGAUUAGCCAGUUGGCGGGGUAACGGCCCACCAAAGCGACGAUCAGUAGCCGGCCUGAGAGGGCGACCGGCCACAUUGGGACUGAGACACGGCCCAGACUCCUACGGGAGGCAGCAGUGGGGAAUAUUGCACAAUGGGGGAAACCCUGAUGCAGCGACGCCGCGUGAGUGAGGAAGUAUUUCGGUAUGUAAAGCUCUAUCAGCAGGGAAGAAGAAAUGACGGUACCUGACUAAGAAGCCCCGGCUAACUACGUGCCAGCAGCCGCGGUAAUACGUAGGGGGCAAGCGUUAUCCGGAUUUACUGGGUGUAAAGGGAGCGCAGGCGGCAUGAUAAGUCUGAUGUGAAAACCCAAGGCUCAACCAUGGGACUGCAUUGGAAACUGUCGUGCUGGAGUGUCGGAGAGGUAAGCGGAAUUCCUAGUGUAGCGGUGAAAUGCGUAGAUAUUAGGAGGAACACCAGUGGCGAAGGCGGCUACUGGGCACCAACUGACGCUGAGGCUCGAAAGUGUGGGUAGCAAACAGGAUUAGAUACCCUGGUAGUCCACACUGUAAACGAUGAUUACUAGGUGUUGGAGGAUUGACCCCUUCAGUGCCGCAGUUAACACAAUAAGUAAUCCACCUGGGGAGUACGACCGCAAGGUUGAAACUCAAAGGAAUUGACGGGGGCCCGCACAAGCAGUGGAGUAUGUGGUUUAAUUCGACGCAACGCGAAGAACCUUACCAAGUCUUGACAUCCUGCGACGGACAUAGAAAUAUGUUUUUCCUUCGGGACGCAGAGACAGGUGGUGCAUGGUUGUCGUCAGCUCGUGUCGUGAGAUGUUGGGUUAAGUCCCGCAACGAGCGCAACCCUUAUGGUCAGUUACUACGCAAGAGGACUCUGGCCAGACUGCCGUUGACAAAACGGAGGAAGGUGGGGAUGACGUCAAAUCAUCAUGCCCUUUAUGACUUGGGCUACACACGUACUACAAUGGCGUUAAACAAAGAGAAGCAAGACCGCGAGGUGGAGCAAAACUCAGAAACAACGUCCCAGUUCGGACUGCAGGCUGCAACUCGCCUGCACGAAGUCGGAAUUGCUAGUAAUCGCAGAUCAGCAUGCUGCGGUGAAUACGUUCCCGGGCCUUGUACACACCGCCCGUCACACCAUGAGAGCCGGGGGGACCCGAAGUCGGUAGUCUAACCGCAAGGAGGACGCCGCCGAAGGUAAAACUGGUGAUUGGGGUGAAGUCGUAACAAGGUA
rnacentral:rRNA from 1 species